AAUUUUUUUUAUAGCUUAAUGAGUGUUCAUAGUAUUAUGAAUACUUUUUAUGAAGGUUUUUGAUUCUGUAUGUAGGUUUUCGAUUCCAUUUAUGAAAGAUGUAUGCAUAGCAUAAAUAUUAAAUGGGAAAGUAAUCUAAAUAUACAUUAAAAAAAGAAAACCUGCUUUUCCAUUCAAUGGCAGUCUUCCUUUAAGUUAGGAAUGGAUAAAUUUAAAGAUAACCUCUUUGUCACUGGUCUGAACAUCAGAAAACGAGGGCUUUGUUAGAAAGUGUGGUAAUUGUAGACCUUCAGUCAAUCCUGGAAACUGCUCUAUUCUAUUACCAGCAUUCUAACUCAUUUCAGCAGUCAGAAUAGAGCAGGGAAAAGUGACCUUGACUACUGUGCCUGCCCAUCCUUGUAUGGAAUAUUUGUCAAACUUGACAAAUUUUGCAAAACUGUAACGCUGUGCACAUUGAAUGGAAAAAUUUGAGAAUUCAAAGCAGAUAAAAGUGCUUUUCAGAACUCAAUUGGUUUCCCCAUCCCUCACUGUCAGGCCCAUUCGCUAUCACCCAAUGUUUCUUUGUUUUGUUCUUCUUGACAUCCUCUCUCCCUCUAUCUCUGCCUCACUCCUUUUCUCUCUUUCUCUCUCCCUCUCCAUCUCUCUCUCAAUCACUAUCAAGACAUCUUUUUAUAAGGCCCUUUAAUACAUCACAGUACCCCCACUUUUCUACUUUUAAUUUCCUUUUUAUUCUCUCUUGCUUUUUUCUAAAUAGUUAUAAAUAUUGAAGAAGAACCACAUUGUAAGGGAAUAAGACCUACCCUCAAACAACAACAACAAAAACAAUUUAUCACUCACUUGAGUUGAGCACACUGCAAACUAAGGAUCCUGGUCAAAGGAACAGGAGAAUUUGCAGCUAGUUAUUUUCUAGAGGUCUUAUAACCAAACAGUCCCUAGAACACAUAAUACUUCCCUACUAUUAUUCAUUCAUAUAUUUCAUGGUAGAAAAGUCACAGACUAGCCUUGAUGUUAAUCCCACUCUUUCUGGUCCUCUAUUGGUCCUACAUUAUGCCCUAACCUAACUUUCCUUCUAAUGAGAACUCCGAUUUAAUGCCCCUGGAAAAAAAUGUCAUCUAGAUUUGUGAAGAAUCUUAUCUGUUCACUAAAGGUACUCCUGAGCUCUUUCAUAUGAAUUCUGGAAAUCAGAGAAUCUACAGCAAUACCCUCUUAAAUCAUACUAAGAAGCCAAAAUCCCUUAGGAAAAUGCUGGGAGUUUUGAGCAAAUACAAUUUCCUUGCUGGCACUAUAAGAAUUGUAAAAUCUUUGGGAAAACCUGGAGGAAAGAAUUGAUCUGUGAUGCUAACUAUUGAAUCAACUGGUGCUUUGUGUAAGGUUAAGCCAUUUGAAGCAGUCAAGAGAUCUGUUACAUGGACCUCGUGAGAGCUUGAUGCAUUCGUCUGGCUUCUUUAUGAUCUGACAUACUUAUGGCCUUUGUGGUGAGUGUCAAGAAAGCCAUUUUGGCAUCAAUACUCCAUCUCAGGAGGCAACCAUACCACCUCAAUAGUCCUCUCCACUCUCUUGCUCUGAGCUCUCCAGUUCUUAUGAUCGUCCAUGUUGAACUCAAUCUGUCAAAUUUCAGUACCUAGCAGUCUCUUGCCACCAGAAUUACACCACUAUAAAGAGA